rnacentral:tRNA from 1 species
CUCGGGCCCGGCCCGGCGGGCUCGUCGGUGCCCUCGGCGGGCGGUGGCUGGUCCGCCGCACCGGGCGGCUCGUCUUCGCCGGGCGGGCC